GGACUGGCAGGAGGGAGCACUGUGCGCUUCCCUCCUGCUGGUCCCUCAUAUCUUGCUCCCCCAGGCCAGGGCUCCCUCAUGGACGUGCCGACCUGGGCAGUGCUGCAGCCUCCUGAGGCUCUCUAUAGAGUGCUCAGGCGGCUGCAGCCUGAAGGGGGCCAAUAGGAAGCGCCGGCCCUGCUGACAACCCUAUGAUUAUAGGCCAAUCCCCUAUUGCAUAAUAGGAU